UAAUCAAAUAGUUUAUUAAAAACAUAUGUUUUGAAAGCAUAAAAAAAGAAAAAUUCUUAUUGAUU
rnacentral:tRNA from 1 species